rnacentral:rRNA from 1 species
GACAGCAGCCGCCGCGGGAAUACAGAGGGUGCGAGCGUUAAUCGGAUUUACUGGGCGUAAAGCGUGCGUAGGCGGCUUUUUAAGUCGGAUGUGAAAUCCCUGAGCUUAACUUAGGAAUUGCAUUCGAUACUGGGAAGCUAGAGUAUGGGAGAGGAUGGUAGAAUUCCAGGUGUAGCGGUGAAAUGCGUAGAGAUCUGGAGGAAUACCGAUGGCGAAGGCAGCCAUCUGGCCUAAUACUGACGCUGAGGUACGAAAGCAUGGGGAGCAAACAGGAUUAGAUACCCGAGUAGUCCCUGUCUCUUAUAC